ACAAAUAUCCAGACUCCAAAUCAACGACCAUAACCUCGUCUUGACAGAUGGCACUCAACUCAUUUUAUUCAUGACUACCCUCAUUUACGUAAGCUGAUCUUAACACACACACACACACAUAUAUUAUACAUAUAUAUAUAUAGUGAUGAGGACAGAUGUUGAUGUGUAGCUGAAGUUCAAGGGCACUUGCGUCGGCCACCGUGAGUAGUCAAGCUAGCGUAGCAAGGACACUCCUCUUGGUGACCGGAAGUCCCUGGAGGCACACAGUUGCAACGCGCACAACAUGUCCCACAAGCUCUCUUGCACAACCGUUGCCUCGACGCUAACCGGCACCUGGCGGUACACGCGCUGCCACAAUCUGCAUCAACAUCAAACAAUAUUGUAUAUAUAAGCAUCCUCAUAUAUCUAUACUAAUUACAAUUAUUUAGCAGAAAAUUACCAAUUUUGGCUGGAGUAGUAGGAGGGCCUUGUGGAUAUGAGGUGGUCACCUGGAUCUCCAAACACGGUCAUAGCAGUACGUAUGAGCAUACAUACGCAUCCAACAUAUACACAUGCAUAUAUAAUGAUAUAAUUAAAGAAAUCUUAAGCGAUGACAAAAGCAGAAAGUUUACCUCGUCAUCAUCAGCUUCCGCUGUGUGGAGAAGAAGAAGAGAUAUGAGAAGACAAGCAACGAAAGCAGCAGCUGGUUUAUAAGAGGC
rnacentral:lncRNA from 1 species